AUACCUUAUAACCCUGAUGUUACCUGCAGAAUAAGCACCGGCUAAUUCCGUGCCAGCAGCCGCGGUAAUACGGAAGGUGCAAGCGUUAAUCGGAAUUACUGGGCGUAAAGCGCGCGUAGGUGGUUUGUUAAGUUGGAUGUGAAAGCCCUGGGCUCAACCUAGGAACUGCAUCCAAAACUAACUCACUAGAGUACGAUAGAGGGAGGUAGAAUUCAUAGUGUAGCGGUGGAAUGCGUAGAUAUUAUGAAGAAUACCAGUGGCGAAGGCGGCCUCCUGGAUCUGUACUGACACUGAGGUGCGAAAGCGUGGGUAGCGAACAGGAUUAGAUACCCUGGUAGUCCACGCCGUAAACGAUGACAACUAGCUGUUGGGAGACUAUGUCUUUCAGUGGCGCAGCUAACGCUUUAAGUUGUCCGCCUGGGGAGUACGGCCGCAAGGCUAAAACUCAAAUGAAUUGACGGGGACCCGCACAAGCGGUGGAGCAUGUGGUUUAAUUCGAUGCAACGCGAAAAACCUUACCUACUCUUGACAUACUUGGAGGCUCUUGUAAUGAGAGUGUGCCUUUUGGAACCAAGAUACAGGUGCUGCAUGGCUGUCGUCAGCUCGUGUCGUGAGAUGUUCCGUUAAGUCGGAUAACGAGCGCAACCCUUACCCUUAUUUGCCAGCGAUUCGGUCGGGAACUAUAAGGGGACUGCCGGUGAUAAACCGGAGGAAGGUGAGGACGACGUCAAGUCAUCAUGGCCCUUACGAGUAGGGCUACACACGUGCUACAAUGGGAGAUACAGACGGACGCUAAGCCGCGAGGUGGUGCUAAUCCUAAAAAGUCUUUCGUAGUCCGGAUUGGAGUCUGCAACUCGACUCCAUGAAGUCGGAAUCGCUAGUAAUCGCGGAUCAGCAUGCCGCGGUGAAUACGUUCUCGGGUCUUGUACACACCGCCCGUCACACCAUGGAAGUGGAUUGCACCAGAAGUAGAUAGUCUAACCUUAGGGAGGGCGUUUACCACGGUGUGCUUCAUGACUGGGGUGAAGUCGUAACAAGGUAGCCGUAGGGGAACCUGUGGCUGGAUCACCUCCUUA
rnacentral:rRNA from 1 species